rnacentral:lncRNA from 1 species
GGUAUGGAUCUAUACUUAUCUAAACUUUUUCGAGACACAAUUAUGUUUUUUAUUAUCAAGAUUAGAUUUUAUUCCAUAUGUGAGUGUUUGGAUUGACUUAUUUGAGCUUAUCUACUGACAUAAACACUUGUGAGACUGUUUUGGAGAACUUAUGGAAAUAGUUUAUGAUAUGUUUGUGAGACUGUUUGGGAGAACUUAUGGAAAUAGUUUAUGAUAUGUCCAAAAGUUGUUUUAAGAUUAUUUCCAUAAGCUCUCCAAGAUAGUUUAUAGAAAUAGCUUAAACGUAAGUAAUUAUAUAAUAAGUACUUAUGUUAUAAGUGUGGGGGUUUUGUAUAUAAAUUUGUUUGCAUGUUGUGGAUGGAGCACGCCCCAAGGAUAGGGUCUUUUCGCUUUUAGAAUCACGACAAUGGAAAAAGUAUCGGGUUGACUGAUAGAUAGCGCCGUGUUUGCAGG